ensembl:snRNA U6 U6 spliceosomal RNA
GUCAGUUUUGUUGGGACAUAAAUUCACACUAGAGUGACAGAGAAAAGAUUAGUAUGACCCUGGCACAAGGAUGAUGCCAGAAGUCAAGCAGUGAUCACACUUACU